rnacentral:rRNA from 1 species
CCCUUAGAUGUUCUGGGCCGCACGCGUGCUACACUGAGUGGAUCAGCGGGUCAGGUUGCGCGAAAGCGUUUCCUAAUCUUUAAAUCCGCUCGUGAUGGGGAUUGACGGUUGCAAUUUUCUGUCAUGAUCGAGGAAUACCUUGUAAGCGCGGGUCAUCAUCCCGCGCUGAAUACGUCCCUGCCCUUUGUACACACCGCCCGUCGCUCCUACCGAUUGAGUGGUCCGGUGAGGCUUUGGGAUCUGAGCGGAAAGAGCGUUUCGCUGUUUCUGCUCGGAAAACUCAGUCGAACCUUAUCAUUUAGAGGAAGGAGAAGUCGUAACA